UACGGAGGAUCCAAGCGUUAUCCGGAUUCAUUGGGUUUAAAGGGUGCGUAGGCGGAAUGAUAAGUCAGUGGUGAAAUCCUGCAGCUUAACUGCAGAACUGCCAUUGAUACUGUCAAUCUUGAGUACAUUUGAUGUGGGCGGAAUGUGUCAUGUAGCGGUGAAAUGCUUAGAUAUGACACAGAACACCGAUUGCGAAGGCAGCUCACAAAACUGUAACUGACGCCGAGGCACGAAAGCGUGGGUAUCAAACAGG
rnacentral:rRNA from 1 species